rnacentral:misc_RNA from 1 species
GAUGAAGAACGCAGCGAAAUGCGAUACGUAAUGUGAAUUGCAGAAUUCAGUGAAUCAUCGAAUCUUUGAACGCACAUUGCGCCCGCUAGUAUUCUGGCGGGCAUGCCUGUCCGAGCGUCAUUUCAACCCUCAAGCCCCCGGGCUUAGUGUUGGGGAUCGGCGAGCCUCCGCGCCCGCCGUCCCCUAAAUCUAGUGGCGGUCUCGCUGUAGCUUCCUCUGCGUAGUAGCACACCUCGCACUGGGAAACAGCGCGGCUACGCCGUUAAACCCCCAACUUCUGAACGUUUGACCUCGGAUCAGGUAGGAAUACCCGCUGAACUUAAGCAUAUCAAUAAGCGGAGGA